rnacentral:lncRNA from 1 species
CCUUAAGGGGUUAAAGGGACGCUAUAGUAACUGAAACAACUACAGCUUAAUGUCAAUUGGACAAAUUUGAAAAUAUUGAUCAGUGUGAGAUCCUUUUUUUUUAAAGCUGUAGGUGUUUAUUUAAAUUCUUUAUGGUUGUGUAUAGACUUUCUGAGAGCUACUUUUAAAUAGUAUAUAUUCAACCUAAAAGGAAAGAGGAUGAAAGGUUAAAAACUACAGGUGAAGUAAAAUAUACAUUAAUGUAAAGUCCAAACUGAGAAGGUCCCCCAGGUCACUUGAAGAACCUGUAGCUUUGAGACCACAUCUAGUCUCCACUUCACAAUUAAACAACAUUUUAUAGGAUUUCUGUUGCUGGCCUUUAACAAUUAAACCUGUAGAUUUUUCCUUUUAUGUAGAUUGACCAAAAAAAAAAAAAAAAAAACACAUCAAAACCCUGCAGUAAGUAUAUUGUGAUUUCUCAAUUUAAAAAUUAUCCAAGCUACCUAACUGCUGCAUAAAUGGAUUAUUGUGAUAUAAGAUCCCCUGUCUCGCUCCUCUUGGUUUCGUAUAGUUACAUUUGCAAAAAAAUGGCUUGUGUCGCCUAGUACACCGUUUUGUUCUCUCAUUUUUAAAAAAAAAUUUUUGUGAUGUGAUUGAAAUGGCAGCGAUGAUUGGCACUAAAAUUCUCAUUUAUUCCUGGUUUGGUGAGACCUAGCAGAAGUUGUAAAUGCUGUGUUUUUGCAUCAGUGCAGGAUAGUUAAUUUUACAUUUUUUUUGUCUUCAUUUAAACAAUUGUGGUGAGUGCCAUCCUCGAAUGUCUUGUAGCCAUAACUUCGAAUGCAUUGGAGAAAAGGAUAAGCGCUCAACAACUACACCAAAUUAUAAAAUAGGCAGCUCACUGGAAAUUAGGCACUUCCCUCAAAAGGAAAAUCUAAGGAAACCAGUAGUGUAGUGCCAUAGAGAUGUUUAUAACCACACGUGAAAUUGGAAUAAUGUGUUGUCAGUAAAGAGACAAUCCUCAGAGUUCGCUUUUAGAUUAAAACGUAAAGAAGUCGAAUGGGAGGAGAUGUAAUAAAGAGAAUUACACGCUUUGUAACCUUUUCAUUUAUUUAGCGCAUAUCCAUGUGUAAGUAAAGGAAUUGCCCAAAUACAAAAAUUGUCUAAUUGAGUAGGUUUAAGGAGGAUUACAGAAAUCUUAACAAAAAAACACUAUGGGCACCAUAACUUAAUUGUUAUGACAUUAUGGUGCCAAGAGGUCCCUGAUGCUGGCUUCUCUCUAUGGGCUAACCUCAAAGCCCAGAUUGCUCUGCCCCCCGUCCUUCUGCUGCUCAUAUUCUUAAAGUGAAAGCUGCAGCUAAUGGCGCCCCUUAUUGGCUGAGUGUCAGAUGACACUCUAAGCCAAUCAGUAUCUCACCACCCACAAAACGGCUUGAGGGACAUACGUACAUAUUUUUCUCAAGUAGUUUUGUGAAUGGGGGCUCGUGGUGUCAUCUUGAACAUAAUUAUACACAUUUUUGAUUAUACUAAAAUUUCUAUAUGUACUUUAGGUUUUACCUAGACAUAGGGCAGGCAACCUUCGGCACGCCAGAUGUGGAUUACCUCUCCCCUGAUGUUUUGAGAGCAUUAUGGCUGUAAGAACAUUAUGGGAGAUGUAGUUGACAAUGUCUGGAGUGCCAAAGGAUCCUGACCUCGACCUUUCAGUUUUUUCCUUUUUUUUUUUUUUUAAUGGUUUACACAUUCCAUGUUCUUCUGCACUUAAUAUUUAUAGGUUAUUUGCAACAAUUGCUACAUUUUGACUGUACUGUAAAGGAGCUGUGUAUUUUAAUCAUCUGUAGCUAUAUAUGUAUUUUAUUAUUUUUAAAUGUGCAUCUUUGGGGAAAAAUGCAAACUUUUAAUAAAGAAACAAUUCGUGCACCAUAACCACUACAGCCCACUGUAGUGUUUAUGGUGCCAUGACGGCUUGUGUGAGUUUCACAGGGUGCACGGCUGAGGGAUUCUUUUCAUAGAAUGCAAAGAACCCGACCCAGGUGACAUAAGAGGAUUUAUAUGCACAUAUUGCUUUCACCUAAAGCUUAAUUUAUAACAGCCAGUUAGUUGUCGUGAUUGCAACAUGGGGGAGGGAUAUCUUUUUAAUGUUUGAUCAAAAGAAAAACCGAACCUGGUUGCGGGGAGGGGUUUAUUUUUAAUUUAUUUUUUUUUAAUUGCAAAUUUAUUUUUAAAUGUAUUUCUCGUUUGACUUUGGUUACUAUACUGGGUGCUGGCUUCUCAGUAAUCUGCACUUCUAGAUCAUUUAUUGCUAUAACUUAUAUAAUGUAUUUAUAUGAAAGGAUUUCCCUAAAGCACUGAAGGCAGCAAUGUGAGUGUUGUUUGCAUUAAGCACACUGGGGUGACAUUUAUUACAAAGAGAUUCAGAUAAAAUGUUUACAAUGUCACUAGAGUUCUUCAACUUGUUUUCAUGUAACCUGUUUACAUUUUCUGUAUGAGUAUUGUGAGUUACAAUGAUAGACCAGACUUGGCUCUGCUUCCAAUUCCUCCCUCUACGCGUAUAGCUGCAUUGGAGAGCGAUUAAUCUGCAUGACACAUUCUGUCACAGAGUGAGUGUAAAUCCGUUUGCUAUUCUUCUGUAGAAGGUGUGUAUUUAUGUUUUACAUAGGCCUGUUGAUAACCCUUUCCCUUAAAUCUUAUUCCUGGUUGAUUACAGUUACUAUAACCCUGCCUUUUUGACUGUAGCUCUCUGACUACAUAUCGAACUUCAGAAAGUCACUGGUUAGAACCCCAUGUGCUCUGGGUUCUUAUUCUCACCCAACGUUCUGCUUUAGCUGAUCCCAGUGAAUGCCAUUCUACCAAGAGCUGCUUUGAGGAUAAUGAAUUGCAUAGCCGCACAGUUUGAAUAGCACAAGAUGACUGUCUUUAGAAUGAAACAUUUAGUAUUUAGAACUUGGCUAAGCUUUUAUUUUUUGUAUUUUUUUUUUCAUGAUGUGUUAGAUUGUUUUUUUUUUUUUUUUUUUUUUUUCUAGAAUUUCUACACAAUGCAAAUAUUCUAAGUAUUGUCCAAUACACUAUAAUACUGUCCAUGCUUUGUCCUAACCAGAUAUUUGCAUUGUGUGGUCCUCAAACUAUUAGAUUACAGCAUAGUGAACUUUUUUUUUUUUUUUAUAGCAAUGGCAUUUUUCACACCUUGAGACAAUAUUGUACAUGUAAUAUGCAUAUCUUGUGCUGGUCAUAAAGACCCUGGCUCCUACAUUUUGCACACUGUGUAUUAUUUGUAAAGUGUUUGGCAGCCGCACAUGGCUCCUGUGAGUACUUCGAAGUGUUGGGCAUCCUUCCUUUAACGCAAAGUAUUCAGUGGAUUUAUGAAUAUAUCAGCAUUAACAUCCAGGUGGGAAAAAAUCUCAAAUAUACCAACGUGCAAAGUGUCCUUUUUUGGAAAGUAAAAAAAACAAAACAAACGUUUACAUCUGCUUUGAAAGAUGAUAUUCUCCUCAUUACUCCCAUAAUGCAGUGCAGCAUUCACCAAAUCAUGGCAUGCUGCUUAUUGCCUUGUCGUGAGAACAUCAUUUUGUUUCGUUUUUUUACAUUAACAUCAGUAAAUCUUAGAAUGUGUAUAGUAUAUACAUGUAUUACAUGUGUGUCUUCAGGUGAGCAUAAUGAUGAGCUUUGUUACUAAUUUUAUUUUUGCUAUAAAGAGUUUCUAUUGUCUUAUUUAUUGGAAACAUUCUAAAUUGUGAACUACUGUUGUUACAUGAGUAUGUUUACAGUUUGUGUUUGAAAAGCUUUGUUUUUGUUUUUUCAUUUGCCUGUCCUUUGUGUUUGUUAAAUUCUCACCUCGCUAUUGUGGCUAAACUGAUAUUACAUUAUUCCCUCCGAGAGCAAACAUAAAAUAAAAUUUUAGGUGAAAAUCACAA